rnacentral:rRNA from 1 species
GCGUCAGUAGGUUGGUCGUGCCACCGGUACGUACUGGUCUCACUGAUUCCUCCUUCCUGAGGAACGGUAAUGCCAUUAAGUUGGUGUUGCGGGGAAACAGGACUGUUACUUUGAAAAAAUUAGAGUGUUUAAAGCAAGCUAACGCUUGAAUACAUUAGCAUGGAAUAAUGAAAUAGGACGAUCGAUCCUAUUUUGUUGGUUUCUAGGAUUGACGUA